UACGUAGGGGGCGAGCGUUACCCGGAAUCACUGGGCGUAAAGGGAGCGUAGGUGGCCUGACAUGUCGACUGUGAAAACCCGGAGCUCAACUCCGGACUUGCAGUUGAAACUGCCAGGCUUGAGGACGGUAGAGGAAGACGGAACUGCCAGUGUAGGGGUAAAAUCCUUAGAUAUUGGCAGGAACGCCGGUGACGAAGGUGGGUUUCUGGGCCGGUUCUGACACUGAUGCUCGAAAGCCAGGGGAGCGAACGGGAUUAGAUACCCCCGUAGUCCCUGAGCGGGCUGGCAA
rnacentral:rRNA from 1 species